rnacentral:rRNA from 1 species
UACGUAGGGCGCAAGCGUUUAUCCGGAAUUAUUGGGCGUAAAGAGCUCGUAGGCGGUUUGUCGCGUCUGCCGUGAAAGUCCGGGGCUCAACUCCGGAUCUGCGGUGGGUACGGGCAGACUAGAGUGAUGUAGGGGAGACUGGAAUUCCUGGUGUAGCGGUGAAAUGCGCAGAUAUCAGGGAGGAACACCGAUGGCGAAGGCAGGUCUCUGGGCAUUAAACUGACGCUGAGGAGCGAAAAGCAUGGGGGAGCGAACAGG